UUUUUUUUUUUUUUUUUUCUUAAAACCAAAGUUGACAUCCAGAAGACUACUGUGGUUUAAGCAAUCAUGUGGUGGAAGACAUGUCGCAUUGGUUGUUUUUGUAUACAUGCUCUGGCUCAAACGCCCUUGCAUGCGCUCAAGACAAGAUCAGACGGGUUCUUAUUAAUUUUUUUUUAAUACUUUUAGGAUCAUGGAUAAGCAUUUGAAGUCUCUUGCGCCAAGGCAUUUGGAAACAAAGUUCGUCAAAUUAGAUGCAGAGGUAAGUUUUUUCAUCUAGUCUUUAAGUGCUUAUGCAUUUGGUGCGGUAUUUGACGUGACUGACCAUGGGUCAUGACGGACUUUUGCAGAAUGCACCUUUCUUUGUUGCUAAAUUAGCUAUCAAAACUCUGCCUUGUGUAAUAUUCUUCAGGUUUGUUCCACAUUGCUUUUUCUAUUUUGAUUUCAUUUAUGUGGUCUUUUUCUCCUUUUGUUUAAAGUUUUUUUGUAGGUAGUGAUCCUCCAUUUGGUUUCUUGGAAAUUGGUUCCAGAAGUAUGUAGUAGCAUCCUUAAUUUAGGAUAACUCAUAUUACCAUAUGAAAAUAUAUGGGUCUCUAAGAAAGCAAUGUAUCAAACAAUCCAAGGACCUCUUAUGGUUCGGAUGUUUAUUUCAAGGGUCUAGCUCAUUGAAGUUUCUGCUGCGUGUAAUGGUUUCAGCAUAUUUUUAGGGAACUUCCUGACACUGUUUGUUUUUCUGAGACAGUAAUGAUUUGUCCAACCCAACAAAUUUGGUAAUUCUUAAGUUUGGGAGUCAAAGUAGAGCCUUCUAUUCUUUUGAUUAUUUCUGGGUUACCGACUUUUGCUCUGCUAAAUCAAGGUUCUGGAUGUUGACUUGGAUUUCAUGUUCCACCCUAUUUUAGGUCCCCUGUUAAGCUUGUGCUCUUGAAAAUCACAUUCAAUACAUCCCUGAAUAUCAACUCUUCUUAACUAUCUUCGAGAGUCUCAUUUCAUCAUUUUUUAUUAGCAAACCAAGAACCAAGGAAAAUGUUCAUGUUUUUCUUUGAAUUAAUCUUUUUUUCAGGAAUGGAAUUGCAAUAGACAGGUUGGUAGGGUUUCAAGACUUGGUAGGAAAAGAUGAUUUUACUACAAAGGCACUUGAAAUUCUUCUUUUAAGGAAAGGUAAUACUUUUACUCAUUGUUGGCUGCACUCAGUGAUAUGGCAGUUUCUAAUCCACUUUUUGCAGAAAUGAUCAAGGAGAACAAAUUAGAAGAAGAAGAGGAUGAUGAUUAUCACGAAAAUAGACAGAGGACAGUGAGAUCAUCUGUGAACGCUGAUUCAGAUUCAGACUGAAUGAAUUGUGAUUGCUUGAUUUCAAUGUAAUGCAUAUACUUUCGGAUGCUUGAUUUCUUCAAAUUGUUGCUAUUUAUUCAUUCCAUUAUCAAUUACUUCAUCUGAGAUUAACUUCUUCCCAUGGGAUUGCAAUAAUGAUGCUGCAUUUUUCAGAUUACUUCUGGCUGAAUCAGGAAGGUAGCCAAGAUAGCUACAAGAGUACUCAAGUCAGUUGAUCUGAAUUGGUGUUUAUACAUAAGAGCUGUGUGAUGCAAUGAAGCCACUUCUUUAGCUGACUGAGGCAAUGGAGUUUGUUCUUGAUUUGUGCUAGGCUUUCAUAGUGGUCGUCUUCUAGUCCGUUGGAGUCGUGUAGUAGAGAAUAUGUAUUUCUUCAAAUAGGUUAUCCUAUCUGCAACGAGCAGCACCAAUCUGAUUCCCACUUCUAGAAAAAUGUUUUUGUUACCUGAGGUUGCUACAAAUUUGCUGCCUGCAGGACUGAAACUUGCCUCUUUUCUAGAUUGCAGGAAUUACCAACUUUGUCAUAAGUGGGUGCCUUUGUUAUCAUAUUGAUUUCUAUCUUUAAGUCUUGUUAUUUUUAAACUUCGCAGGGGUCAAUUUUCACUAGAAAUGGGCAUUUUACGGGAUUGGCUUUGUAGUUUAGCAGCAAGGUGCCAUAUCAGUGAAUGAAAAUCAAAAUUAAAGUUGCAAGCAGAGGAAAGGACUAUGGUUAUUGAUGAUGCUUUUAGCCUCUGCUGUCUUUCACAGCUUCUCUUUCUUCAUUGGUAAAAAUUUGUCUAACAAGCAAAUGUAAGUGAAGAACAUGUACUUGGCUUCUCGCUAUAUCAGGGAAACAAUUUAAGGCGGGAAGGAGGAGGAAUUUGCAGAACGAUGAUAGCAGAAUUCUAAUAUAUCAAGCUUAUUGGUUUUCAUGCUUUUCCAACUGAAAGAAAUUGCCCUUUUAUUUUUUUAGGGUGAAAAAUCUGCCCAUCCUUCACUUUUCACAUUUCAUCCCCAAGCGGAAAAGGUUACAAGAGGCCUGAAAGAGAAGAAUACAGCAGAAUUGAUCGAUUUCAGCAGAUACCUUUUGGUCCUUUGGGAACCAUGAUUGUCUAAUUAGCUCCAUCUCCAGUAGGAUAGGACGCACAAUGACAUUACUUGAUGCGGGUUUAAGCAAUUUCUUGGAGGUGAUAUAUUAUUGUAAAAGAAAGGAUAUCUGCUUCUUCGAAGAAAUGAGAUGAUUAUAAAAAAAGAAGCCACCGGGUUGACUUGGAUGACACCUCGGUCUUUUGAUUUUCGGUAUUUCUUGGAAGCCGUGUUCCUGUUGGUCCUACCUUCCGUGUGUGAACUACCAUACUCGAAACGAAACAAUCGUUGCAUUUCUUCCGAGUCUUCCUUUGCUCGUCCACUCCGCUUUCUUGCUAUAUUUUCUCCACUAUACUGACUAUAUCUUUUCUGGCAAUAAUCACGAUCAAAGUGCAGGAUUCUCAAAGAUUGAAAUAUAUAUAUAUAUAUUUAUAUAUUGAAGCCGUCUAGGGGAGGAUUUGACCUGAAGAAGGUAUUUUGAAGAAAUAUCUUUUACUGCUCAACGGUAAGCGCAUUUUCCAUUACGUUCACGUUCUUCCUGCAUUAUAUUCGUCAAAUGAAGUUUUAUGUAAUUUGAUCAUUCUUUUGUUUUCUGUUUCUCAUUUCUGUCCCGUAUUUAGCUAUAUCCUUUCCGGUAAUACUAAUUGUUUCUAAAAUCAGAUGCAAAAAUUUUGGCCGCAAACAGCAAAAUCUUGGUAGUUUACUUAUCUUUAUGAUAUUGUCAGUACAUAAAUUAGGGGGAAAAAAGGUGUGAAGCUGAUACUUCUGAUGUCAAAGUUUAAAGAUUCUUCAGUUCAUUCUAGCUUAAUCUGCUUAAAAUCAGAUUAUCGUUCAAGCUUUAUAGGCGAGGGCUACGUUAGGUGCUCUAGAUAUGUUUCGUACCGGUCGAGAUAAACUAACAAACAACUGAGGAACUUGUACUUACUUCACACCCUAAUUACACGACGAGAUGGACUUUUCAAGUGAUAAACUAUCUUUUAAAAUUGACUUAAAAAACGAUUGAAGAAUCCUUCUUGGUCUUGGAGGUUAUUUUGACAGGAUAAGAAAUCAAAGAUAGCAUCGCAUGCUAACUUGCGACUAGUUUGACUUCUCCGAAUUUUGGAAAUUAGGAUCAAAAUUUCCUUUUUUUGACCAUGAGCGAUUGAUGUAAAGUAGAUAUUCUUGUGCAGAAGCACAAUAAAAGAUGGUGGAUGCAGUGGUUUCAGUGUUCUUGGAGAAGCUUCUUAAUGCUUUCCAGGAGGAGAGCCAAUAUCUGAGCAAGUUUAGAGAGCAAUUUGGAAGAUUGAAGAAUGAGCUGCUACUCAUGGAAAGCUUCCUAAAAGAUGCGGAUAGGCUCAAGAGGAAAAACCAGAUUCUUCGAAGGAUAAUGAUGUGUUUACGUGAUCUUAUAUAUGAAGCUGAAGAUAUACUGAUAGAUUGCCAGGCUAUACCAGUUCGCGCAAAUGCGGCUUCAAAGUUCGCUAGUCGUUUCUGUCCCUCAAAACUUCCACUUCAAUACCGAACGGGGAAGCGUCUAUGUGAGAUUAAUGAGAAAAUCAGAGACAUAAAACAAAAUAUUUCAUCCUAUCUGGGGGUGCCGCUUUUGAGUGAAACCCGUAGCAUGGAGACUCAUGACCAUCUCAUGUCCAGAUGGAGCUCACCAGUGUAUGAUCACUCCCAGGUUGUUGGUUUAAAGGAUGAUACUGAGAAGAUGAAGAAUUGGAUAUUGCAGUCAAAUGAUGGCAUCGUUUCCAUUGGAAUUGUUGGAAUGGGAGGAGUGGGGAAGACUACCAUUGCUCAAGAAGUCUUCAAUGACAGAGAGAUAGAGGACAGGUUUGAAAGAAGAAUCUGGGUCUCUGUUUCUCAAACUUUUACUGAGGAGCAGAUCAUGAGAAGCAUAUUGAGGAGCUUAGGGGAUGCAUGUGUGGGCGACAAUGAAAGUGAAUUAUUGACGAAGAUAAAGCAGUAUCUCUCAGGAAAGAGAUAUUUGAUUGUGAUGGAUGACGUCUGGAGUUUGGAUAAUACUUGGUGGCUUAGAAUAUUUGGCGGGUUGCCUCAAGGAAAUGGAAACUGCGUAAUUAUUACUACAAGAAUUGAGAAAGUUGCUCGGAAGAUGGGAGUGAGGGAAUCAAGGACUCAUUGGCCCAAAUGCCUCAAUGAGGACUAUAGUUGGUUACUGUUUCGUAAGAUAGCAUUUGCCGCAACUGGGGGUGAGUGUCGUCACUCUGAGUUAGAGGAUGUUGGGAAGGAGAUUGUUGAGAAGUGCAAAGGGCUUCCAUUAGCUAUUAAAGCAGUGGGAGGAGUGAUGCUGUGCAAACCACCUCAUUAUCAUGAAUGGAGACGAAUCUCAGAUCAUUUUCGUGAAGAAUUAGCUGAAAAUGAUAACUCUGUGAUGGCAUCACUGCAAUUGAGCUAUGAUGAACUCCCACCCUACUUGAAGUCAUGUUUCCUCUGCUUCUCAAUCUUUCCAGAGGAUUGUGUCAUCGAUAAAGAUCAAUUGGUUCAUUGGUGGAUUGGUGAGAGUUUCAUGCCUGUGAGAAACCAUAGAUUAUCAACUGAAGUUGGAGAAGACUGUUUCUCAGAGUUGACAAAUCGAUGUUUGAUAGAGGUGGUUGACAAGGCUUAUAACGGUCGGAUCCAGACUUGCAAAAUACAUGACAUGGUUCGUGACUUGGUGAUUAGAAUUGCUGAAGAUGAUGCAUUUUCCAUUCCAUCUGAUGCUAACUGCCGCCAUCUUGGUAUUAGCAGUGACAUGAGUGCACGUAACCUGGCAGCUGAUCAAAGGUUGCGAGCACUGCUCACUACAACCAAGAUUGGUGAGGUAAACAAGAUUGGUUCAAAAUUGGCAAAGAGUUUCUGCAGAUGUUGCCAUCUGCAGAUACUCGAUCUUUCCAAAUCGAUUUUUGCAGCAUCGCUUUCAAGUUUGUUGGAUGAAGUAGGAACUCUCCAGCAUUUGACCUGUCUGAGCCUAAGCAAUACUCAUCCUUUAACCCAACUCCCAAUUUCACUAUCGAAGCUCCAAAAGCUGAAGAUUUUGGAUGUCAGUUAUUGCCAGAAUUUGAACAUGCUUCCAAGUUGUAUAGUAGCAUUUGAAAAGCUCGUGGUGUUGGAUGUCAGCAAUUGCGGUUCUCUUGAGUACCUGCCCAAAGGAUUAGGGAGGCUUUCCAACCUUGAAGUGUUAUUGGGCUUCAAGCCAGCUAUGCCAGUCGAAUGUGGAGGUUGUCGCAUUGCUGAACUGAAAAGCCUGUCAAGACUGAGAAGAGUAGAUUUAAGGCUUACUCAUGGUGAUGAGAUUGGAAAUGACGAGGUUGAUGCAUUAGUAAAUCUCCAGGAACUGCAAUUCUUAACACUGAACUUCUUUGAUAGUCAUGAUGAUGAUCUUUUUUUGAAAAUCAACAAACUUCUCCCUCCUCGACAACUGCAUGAGCUGAGUUUUAAAUUUUAUCCUGGGAAAAUAAGUCCAGAGUGGCUGAACCCCAGGUCGCUUCCUAUGUUGAGGUACCUGUCCAUUGUUUCUGGAAGCCUCGCAAAAUUGAAUGAUAGCUUCUGGGGCCUUGGAAAUAUGGUAUGGAGAAUUGAGGGCUUAAAAUUUGAAGCUUUAUCAGACUUGAAUGAGGAAUGGUCAAUGAUGCAUCAAGCCAUGCCAUCCCUGAAAAUACUGAAUGUGAGCUGGUGUCCUGAGCUGGAGUCUUUCCCAAUUGAAGAUGCUGGAUUUAGAGGAGGGGUUUGGAAGAAGGAAGAGCAAAGGAGCUAGCAAGACUUAAAAGGUGCAAUACAAGUAACAACAGUUCUUAUACAGUCCCAGCACUGAUUGAAUAAGCUCUUGCAUGUCAUCAUGGUCCUUGCCAUUGAAGUGUUGCAUUUCAUCACUUUGCUUCGGGAUUGGUUCAUAGCCCAUUCCUCCAAUGUUACAAAACUCCAUGCUUCUUGGAAGGGGUGGUCGAAAUAAGCCGCAGCUGCGCCUUCCUUCGGUGGGAAAUUCUUCUCUUUUUGAGUUGGGCUCCUAAAACCGGGCUUCAACAACUCUCGCCAGUUCCCUGAGGCCCUGAUUUUGAUUUAAGGGAGUUUCUUUAUUUUUCGGCCUAGAGCUAUUCAGCCUCGUUACCUUGUUUAUCCGCAAACUAUAUAUGGAUUGGGGUGUUUCAGUCCCCCCAUCUAUGCGGCAAGCUACCCCAAUCUCCACCGUGAAAAUGUCCAACUAAUAGGAGAUUAUGUUUUGUUGUAGGCUCUUAUUUUUUCACAAGAUAGUCUGCUAAUUGCUGGAUAUAUUUAAAUUCCUACCACAUGAUUUAUCUAAUACUUUCUAAAAUAGGGUGGUCAACUUUCAUUGUAGUAAUUUUUUUCCCUCCCUAGGCAACACAUAUAUAUUACUUUAGUUGGAAAAUUAUGGUUGUACAAGGGAUUAAAUGGAAAGACCAAUAUAAAUCAAUAGUACACAUUGGAUCUUUUAAUUGCAAUCUACAAUCGGUGGUGAUUAACAAGCGGGUAGUCAACUGAGGAUUUUUUUUUUCCAUCAUGAAUCUGCAGUCCGACUUUAUGAACCUUACAGUUGGAGUCAAUUUUCUUUUCAUUAAUCAUCAAUUGUUAAAUAAAAAAAAAAGGGGGUGGUUCAAGUCUUUAAGAACCUAUUCUUGAAUCUCAAGCAGUGUAAUUCAAAGCUAUCAUAAAGCUUCAAUUUAUGCUUCGUUCGGUAAUAGCAGUGUAUCCGAGAAAAAUCUGAAUGAUUAAGGGAAGAAAUUGUUUGAACAGCGUAGUAUCCAAAACAUGAUGCUGAGUUCACUGAUUCAACUUCUUUGCCUCUUUUUUCUAACUUGUCUUCGGAUAUUGCUUGAAAGAGUUGUCGCGAAUCAUCCCAAUAAUCAACAUCACUAUGAUGAGCAAAAGAGAAAACAGCAAAUGGAAAAACUAAAGCGGCCAGGACGUCCCUUCCGCAGAAAAUGAUCAUAAUAGUUAUCCGUAAAAUACAACAAAACUUAAAAGACAAGGGAAGGUGCCUAAAAGAGAAUACAACAAAACUGUACCUUGUUGUCUUAUAACAAACAAAUCACCCAGCAAAAAAACAGACGAGGGAAGGUGCCUUUCCAUUUCAGGACGCGACAUCAAUCUAUACCCGACCGACAAGAGCUUCAUUCCUUUCAACCAAAUAAUGAGAAACGGAUGCAUGCCACCUUUCAGAAAUCCCCAUCCUUGUGAAAAAAGCAUAUGAGUUGCCCCCAUGUUCUUGUAAUUAAAAUCACUUUUACAAUCAGAUAUAUAUAUAUAUAUAUAUAAUGAGGACUAAUUUUCAGCAGUAUAUCAGCUGACAGCAGUGUUAUUGUUGUUUAUCUUUUUUGGCGGAGUUAAAACAUGGUAGCAGCCCUUUGGGGAUCAGAUACUCCCAUUGUAAGAGCAACAUACGUAUGACGUGAAAGCAAGGGGUACCAGACACAGCCCUCUACUUCUCAGAUCAUGCAUUGCCCGCUCUUCUUCAUCCUCGUCUUCUUUCAUGCUCAAAACCUCCUGCUGUUCUCAUCACCGGUAAACCAAGACAAAGUUAAUUACAAUCUCAAAUCUCGUUUUUAUGUUUCAUGAUUAUUCUGUUCUGAAGCUGCAAUAAAGAUGAUAAGCAGGAAAAGCAUUUUUCAAAGCAAGUUUUAACCACUUUUCUCUUAGGUCGAAUUACUGCGUAAAUGGAAGCUCAUUUUAUUUGUUUAUUUAUUUAUUUAUUUUUUUUAGGUGUAGACAAAAUUGCAACUCAAGUCAAAAUCUUGAUGAUAAUCGAUACUGGAAGCCGAAGACUUACUCCACGAGUUGCUCGACAGGACUUGCUGCUGCGAGAUGAUUUCAAAUACGCCAUACUCAAUGUCUGCAAAGAAUCAUCAUAUAAGUAUUUAGUGGAUGGACCAAUUUCACGAUCAUGCCAACCAAGAAUUUAUGUCUCCAUCAAGUCUGACAAAACAUUUCCAAAAGAAAGUAGUAAACUUUUUCUUUUCCUUCUUAGGAAAUCAAAUUUUGGGAUUUUUCUUUAAUUUUAUUUCCUGCGGAUUAUUAACAAUAAUAUGUAUUUCUCAGAAAACCAAAAUUAACAAACUUUUUAAGGGUUGGUGGGUUAAUUACCUGGAUUUGGUCUUGGAGGAACUGAAUGUACCCAAUGGCUUCCGUCAAAACUGAGGCUGUAUCCGUCUGCAUGUUCCCCAUUACCAGAAAGAAUUUCAUCAGGGCAUGGACAAAAAUUUAAAAUAAUACGCCAUUCUCUUCUCUCUCUCUCAGUCUUUUUGCACGAUAAUGGAUUCCGAUGAAUGAAUGACCAGACCACAUACUACCUUGCCGAAAGGCGAGACCAAUCUGUGAAGAGCUGCAAUUCUGUCUCCCAAUUUUUCCUUUCGGACCUAGGUAUAUACGUAAGUUGAACCACGAUUACUUAAUAAUAUUGAAUCCUCCCACCACCUACCACCCAAAAAAAAAAAAAAGAAAAAGAAAAACCUUGUUCUGUUAAAGAGUGAGUACGAGGAUAGUAACAUUUUUUGUUUGGCACCUUAAGGGUUGCACAUGAAGAUUGCGGUGCCAGUACUCGAGGUUUCUUGGCCAUUGCAAGGGAUGGCGUUGGUUUUUGGGUUUUCGGUCUUGAAACUUCUUUCCUGAAGGUUGAUGUCUUUGAAACCAAAGGGUAAUUAUUAAAGUUUAGCCUACUAUUGCCAAAAUUAAAUUGAUCAGGGAGCUGUGGAAAGUUAAUAAUAAGAAGCGUAAAUUAGUAACUGAGACUAAUAUUUCAAGUAUCAACUAGCUGCGCUUUGCACACAUGUACUUAUUAUACUUGAAUCAAAAUGACUAUGCACCGGAAAUUGAUAAUUACAAAAGUUGACAAGGCAUUUUCAUUAUUUUUCGUGAAUUCUAUGAUGAAUAUGAGUCAAUAUUCCAGGUGAAGAUAUCUAAGCACUAAAACUCUCGAGGAGCAUUUAACAUACACAUUCAACGUAAAGUGCAUUUCUCUAGAAAUCAAUCAAUCACUCACGUAAUCACGUAAAGAAAUGCGUAUAUACACUAAAACUCGACUAACCAAAAUACUCCAAUACAGAAAGUUGAUGAUGCAUUGCACUGGUACUGAAAAAAUUAAUUCGUCUAAAACAGUAAUUCGAUCUAACCAAUAAUAAUUAACACUAACGCAUUAACACAACCUAUUCUCAUUCCAGUUGCUUAAUUUUUAGUACUGAAUUGCUUCUUGCGAAUAUUGAAAAAUAUACUAAAUGGUCACCCACAGUAAAUGAUUGGUUUACUUCAUCAUCGAUUUAAAAAAAAAGAAAGAAGAAGAAUAGACAAGAAAAUCACUGGUGGAAGAAUAUUAAACCGAAACCAUAUGCAUUGAUCCAUGAUGAAGAUUGCACUAAUUAGAGACGUCCGUGUAUGGUGAAUGAACAGUUGUAGACUUAGGAGCAGAUGAAGAAGGAUCUAUUUGAAGACAAUAAACUUCCGGAAAGGCUGUAAAAUUGUAUGUUUCGACAGAAGAAAGAGGAAAAUACCCACUUUGUUGGAGCUGUUUGAUGGACUAUCACUUGAUUGUCGGAGGUGACAAUAAUCCGAAGACAUUCUUUCUUCGAAGGAUUCAUGAGUUCGAUGACCCUCAUCAAAGUUUCUGCAAUUCAGGAUCUCCGUGGCCAAAGGCAAGCUUUGUGAAGUGGGAAGUAAAGAAGUAGAGGCAUAAAGUUGAUGCUGAUCUGUGCUUUCUGAAGUACCGCUGGACAUAAAAUUUGGAGGAGAUGGUGGUAGACCUACAAAACUAGCAAAACCAUCCCCAUUUGAGUAGGAUUCAUUAGUUGAAAGCUUCUGGUUGAUGUGGCUGUGGGAGAAGGAACCAAUCCAAAGAUUCUCGUUUAGGUCUAUUGACACAUCUUGUUGCCCAUUUUUUAUGUAGCUGUUCUUUAAUAUGCUCCCAUUCAUGUCAUCCGAUUUGAGGAAAAGUCCUGGAUUAAUGCCACCCUUACUGGGCAAUGGAUGAUGCAGAUAGCUUCUAAAAUCACGACAAUUAGAAUCUUCAUGAUCAACUUCGAGUAGCGAUUUUUUGACAGAAGGGACUGAGUUGAUACUCCUUGGCCAAAAGUAGUCCCUCGAAUUUGGAAGGAUUUCAUUCAUGUAUCUGCUGAAGUCAUCUCCUUCCCUACAUCAUCAAAACCAAUAGUGGGUAAAUCUUCCCGAAUGAGUUUAAAAUGUUAAAAUUAAACUUCUUCUACGUAUCUUCCAUGCCCUUUCAUCUGUUUAACCAAAAUUUUAGCAUGAUGACCUAACUCGGAAGAUGAAUGUUUUUCUAGGUGAUAAGUCAAAUAAAGAAUUUUUCUCUUUUUUUUUUUUUAUUUUGACCCCUCUAAAAACUGCAAAAAUGAAAAAAGAAGUGAAUUAUUUAUCCGAAUCACAGUUGAAUCAUAAUCCUUCAGAAGUUUUCGCGAAAUCAACCGAGCUACUUGAGAAAGUUCGUUAUGUAGGACAAAUAUUCUUCUCCGCUGUAACAGUGAAGAUAAAACAAAAGCAAGAAUAUUGCCCCCAGAAAGAAAGAAAAAAAUAUAGCAAGAAUAAUAGAAGUAGGGAAAUCCUCUAAGCUUGUAUACUUACAAGACCAUGCUGGGGUUCCACUGACCAUUCACGGUUGAUACUAGUGUAGCUGAGGAAGAGGUCGACGAUGAAAAAGCAGGAUAGAUAAGCUGUUGCUGCUGCUGCUGCUGAUGCUCCUGUUGCUGUAACGGCUGAUCAUGAUGCUGAUUAAAAUUCGCUGAUUCCAUGAUGAUUUUGUUCAAGACUUGAGAAUCCCUAGAAGAAUGAUCUGGAUACAUAUUUAUGGUUCAAACGGCCCCCAAAAAAAAAAAAAAAAAUUCACCUGAAAAGUUCAAGUCACGAAUAUUGAUACAAAACCCUUUUACCCCUUAGCUUUAUACUCCACUUGAAACCGGCAUCAAGUAAUUAAUAAGAGCAGACAAUUUAUGAUUUUACUAGUAUAUAUACAAUUCAUUCAUCUUCUCUAAUUGAACUUAGCUUGACCUAGAAAGUGCAUUUGUAGCCAUGUCGUUUCCCUACUGCCCAUUGUCACAUAAUUGAUGAAUUACCCACGAGGUGAAAAUCAUUACCAAAAAGCGGCAAUUUUUCUGGCCACAUGUCUAUACUUUUCUAUCAUUGAGCAUAUUAUAAUAGGUUUCAGGUUUAAGAUUGAGGAAAAUGAGAUAAACAAGAAAAAAAAAAAGUUAGCUUAUUAGUUAGUAUUUCCAUGGACUGCAUCGAUCAUGUUAAGUGCUAUUGCAUGUGCUCUGUGUUUGUGUGCCACCCCAUGUCUCUAAUCCCUAUCUUGUAAUCAGGCCCAUGUACGCUGUACUUCUAAGCAGGAAUCAUUGAUGAACAGAGAAAAUUGGGAUUUACUGGACUUUGUAUGGCUGAGAUGGCAACCACCCACUCGUAUCUCUUAUGUUAUGGUUGGUUGAUGCAAAUAUGAUGUCAUCCUGCAAAUGCAACAUAUAAUUAAUUAAGGCAAAUUUGAGAAAAUUAGAAUACCAGUUGAUGCAAAUAUAUAUCAUCAUUACCGAAAAGUAGGGAUUUCUCUGGUUGAUGCACACCAAUGUUCAUUUUAACUACUACGAUAAAAUCGAAUUACGCUUUGAGGAUUGCACUAUUUUGUGCAAGUUUGGAUGCGAAUUACGCUUACAAUGUUUUUCUAAAAUGUAACAUUGUUUUCUAGAACAUGAUUACUGAUUGAUUUUUUUUGGUUUGGGGGGGGGGGGGGGGGGAGAAGGUAGGUAAUUCAUAUUACAGUUUCUCUACUCGAGCAAUAACAAUUUAAAAAAAAUAACAGUGACUAUCGAGCUAAUCUAUCAACUUAUCACAUAAUUAAGUCCAAGCACAUACAAGUGAUGAAAGAAGCACUAUAUAUUCUUAUACUAUAUAAGAUUCAGUUUUGGUCAAAAAAGGGAGUUAAAUUUCAACCGCAUGGGCGAGGGCAUUUUGAAAAUUUGGAAAAUGUGUUGCUUUUUUCAAUCUUUUGGUACAACUGAUUGCAGCAUGUGUUUGGGUGUUUUUAUAUUAAAACCCCCAUAUUUGUGCAUUUAAAAUUUACAUUUAUAGACACAUCUAAGUAUUUGUGAAAUGUGGGUUUAUUUGACGAUUAUUUGUGCAUUUGAUCCAAUUCAUAUAAGCGUAUAUUUUUUUGCAAUUACUGAAAUGGGAUUAUUAUGUAAUUAAAAUAGAGCCACGUUGCUGCUAACCUCAGUAAUUGCAAUAUAACUCCAUUUUAAUUGUCUGAAACACUCAUAAUUAUAUUAACACUUGCUUUCCUAUGUCUGAAGUUCAGCUGUUUGAAACAGCUUCUCUACCAGUAAUAAAAUACUAUUUACAUCCCAAUUAAACAUCCAAUAAAUGUGGGUGUGCUGCUAAGUUAUUAUAUGAGUAUCAGUUAUAACUCUUUCAAUUCUUCCUCCUUCACAUUCUUCGAUUUUUCCCCUUUCGACUUUCAGAAUUGCGUUAUUUUUUUAACCUUUUCGCUGAGCAUUUCAUAAUGGUUUUCAACAGAAGUUAUAUUUCCUUAGUAUUACUUAAUAUGUACUGUUAUUUUAUAUUUAUCUUCAUUUACUUGCUCAUCACAGACACCUAAAAAAUUCUCUUUAAUAACACGCGCCAAACACCCGCACGAUGCACAGGCAUUCCCCUCUAGUUUUGACAUAAGUUUAACGACCCUCACCUACUCAUGUUAGAUAAUUAAAUAUUCGAUACUCUUUAUCUGUUUUCCCCUAGCCGACUAAAGUCAUUAUUACCAUCUUCUCUUUGACUCUUGGUUGAUUGGGGACCAGAAUGCAGGAAUAAUCAACUUCAAACAAAUUUUAUUUUAGUACGCACAAGGGUCGCAAGGAAAACCACAAUACUAUCUUAUGCAUUCCCUUUUGUCAGACAAGAGUCCAUAGAAAUAUCAAAUCUGAGAACUUGAACUGGGAAAUCAUAAGCAAUGCCAUCUACUACAAUUCAUUUGUUUUCUUGAAAUCACGUUGACAAAUGAAUUGCACUGCAGCGUUACUUCUUCCAUCCCACUAGUUCAUUCCUUCUUCCUCCCCUUCCCGUUCUACUGGAGCUUAGUUCAUUAUUUGCAAUUAAUGGGUAAGGGUGGCUUAUGUGCCUGGUAUUUUGUCAAACUGUCAUGCAUGCAGAUUUCAGAUUAUGUGCUAACUUCUUAGUAAUGUGUUCCUUGUCCAACUCUAAUCGCCAGCAAGAGAUUCUUUUCCUUUCUCUCUCUUUUUUUUUUUUUUUGGGGCAUCACCAUUUCCCAGCUGAGAUCUUCCAGUGAUAUCCUAAACUUGAUUAUUUUAUGCUGAGGAGAGAGGAAUGUGUUCUCACCAUCCCUCAUUCUCUCUCCAUUCCAGCUUCUUCUUUCCCACUUCUCCCAUGCUAAAGUAAAAAGGUACAUGUUGAAGUACUAUUUCACUAUUUUUUAGAGAAAAGUAAGAUCGGGGGAGGUAACUGAUAAUAGCAACCCAACAAGAAGGCAAAAUGAUAUAUCAGGCGAAAAAGUGAUCAUGGAUUAAUGGAUUUCCAGGUUAUGGACAGGUUUGUCUUGAUCUCUUACUUUUUCAGCCGUACUCAAAAUUCAACUAGCCUUGCCAAUGCCAUCCACGGCCUCCUGCAACAAGCUCUCAAUCUCAUUUUCUAAAUUUUUUUCACUCUCAUUAUAUCUUAGCUUUUGCAUAGUCAAUUUUAGCAAAUUUUACCUGAACUAUUGGACACGAUUGCAACGAGUUCAUUUUCUUACGUGAUAGGGUCGUUAAUUCAAUAUCUUGUACAUGCAACACUACAUUUGUUUUUUUUUUUUUCCAUUUUAAUUGACUAUACGAGUAAUCACUCUAGAAUCUAUAUGCAUAAUGUCUUUAUGAUUUAUUUUUUAUACACAAAUAAUAUAUACACGAUCACCAUUGAAUGCAUGAUAACUGAUUUGAAUGUUAACUUGAAAUCCAAAUUUUACAUAUAUAUAAUACAUCCAAUCGUGAUAAUAUAUACACCACCAAUAUGGAUAAAAUUAAUUCAUAUUUUUAACAUCCAUGUUUUAUAUGUUUCAAAAAGAAAUUAACACCUUAUUUCAUUUAUUUGAUUGAAUAUUAGAAACCUCCCUGCUGAAAGUAAAUUGUAAGAGUGUCAAAUUUGAUGUUUGCCGUUUUUUUAAAGAUAUGAACAUUAAUAAAGAUACAUCAAUCAAAGCUACCCCCAAAAAAAAAAGCAUAUAAAGGACAAAGGGUUUUAUGGCACAGACUUGCUAAUACAUAAAUUCCUUGAUUGAGUUCAAAACUUAAUGCACUUUCACCGACAAUAUGCCAAAAAUACCCUUACUCGAAGACUUUGGAAGUUCCAAGUGUUUGAGACUAAUGGGAUGCAUAAACUAUUAUGAAUUAAUCUUUUCUACACAACACAACAGUGUAUCCAUUGUCUGCUAGUUUUUGAUGAAUGACAGUAAUUCAAUUUCAAAUUUGAAUUUGAAUUGUCUGUAAAAUUUGAACUUGAAAUUCAAUUUUUUUGCACGUAUCAUUAAUCCAAUGGUGAUAGUGUACAUAUUAUCAGUGUAUAUAAGGUUUACUCAAAUAUUUAACAUUAAUUUUUGAAUUUGACCUAAAAGAUCUGUGUCACUAAUAGCAUGAAGAUGGAACUUAAACCUAAGAACAUGAUUAAAUAACCGUUCCAAAUUUUCAUGGAUUUAAAGGACGACUUGAUUUCUCCUUCUAACUAAUUAAGUUGGUCAUGCAUGCUACGAGGGUGGCGUGAUUUUGAGGGCCGACAUAUAGAAUAACAAUGCAAUUAUUGGUACUUUGGGAUUAAUCCCAGAUGCCUUUUUCUGAAUUAGUCUUUUUAUUAUUGUAAUUACUUGGAGUUAUGUUAAAAUUCCCUAUAGCACUUUAUAGUCCACUUGCUGCUAUGGGUACCAAAUGGAAUCCUAGUUGGAUUCAUUAUGUUCCUUCGACCGUCUUCCCAUUUGAAUAUGUUUUGCGUGCACGAAACACGUCCUUGCCAAAAUGCAAUUGGCGUUGCAAUCAUUUGUCUAUUGGUGACAUUUAUCUUGAGACCAUCAACCAUUGUAUGUAUCAAUUAUCAUGUCUAGACCUGAGAUUUGUGUCCAUAAGGUAGACUUAUCAGAAUGAGUCCAAGCGAAAGUGGUGCUAAUCUAAAUUAAUACUAUGCUCUUUUCGUGUUUUGUAUUUCAUGGUAGCUUAAAUAUUUUGUUCUGCUCUAUAUGGGUAAUCUUGAGAGUAAAUUAAAACUCUGAAUAUUCUCUACAUAGUUGACCCGUAAUUUCAUGCACAAAGCUAGCUCCAAGGCCUUAUUUUUGGCCUCUAACGUCAUAUGGUUUUUCUAGCAUACGGUAGCACUACGACCUUAUGCUGUGUACUAUUUUACUUUGUAACAAAUGAUGAUAGUUCCUUCACUAAAAAUGUAAGUGGCUGUAGUUUAGUGGUAAGAAUUCCACGUUGUGGCCGUGGAGACCUGGGCUCGAAUCCCAGCAGCCACAUUUUCUGUUUUAUAUGAUUGCACUUAAAAUGCAAUAAUUGUUUUUGAAACCUUUCUCCUUUUUUUUUCUCCUGAAUUUAGCUUGUUGCCAUAUAAUGGAUUAGAAAUUUACUUAAGAUAGAAUGGCGUCUCUAACACGGCCAUUGGCCAACCUAUUACAAACUUUAAUACUUGCACAUGUUUAGGUAAGAAUGGGUAGCAAUAAAGCCUUUAGGGGAUUGCCUUUAAAAAAAAAAAAACUUUAAUACAAACUUUAAUACUUGCACAUGCUUAGGUAAAUGGGUAGCAUUGAAGCCUUUAGGGGAUUGCCUUUAUUAAAAAAAAAAAAAAAAGCCUUAAGGGGAUUAAAUGUUUUUAACUGUGUUAUUCAAAAAUCACACUGUAAAAAAUUUGUUAGGUGCACAGUGCACCUACCAUAACCACCAACCACCUCGAUCACCACUAUUCAUCUCCACUACUACUAUUGCCCUUCCUCCCUCUUUCUCUCUCCUCUUCAUCCUCCCUUCUCUUUGGUCUUGGGAAGAGGUAUCGAUAGAGGAGGGGAGGAAAGAAAGAGAGAGGGGGGAAGAGUGAGGGAGAGAAAGGAGAAAGGAAAGAAAGAGCUAAACCCAACUUCAAAAACACUUUUAUCCUAAUAUAUUAAAUAAGAACAAAGUGUCUAUUUAAUAAGUUUAGACCUUCUAAAGGAUAAAAAAUAGGUAAAGUUUAGGAAAAUUUAACGUUUUUUGUGAACACAUUUUUCAGUUUUUUUUUUUAAUUAUAAACAUCAAAUUAUUAUGGUACAUUUUUCUAUAAAAAUUAAAAAAAAAUUCAAACAACACCUUACGAGUCAAUCAUAUUUGACCUGUAACAUUUAACCAUGUCUUGUGUAUACUUGUAUUAUGUAGAUAGUUAGUAAGGUUGGGCUGUAUUGGGUACUCAUCCUGUGCAUUAUUUUGUUGAAUCAACCAACACCUUAUGGGUCAGUCAUUUUCUGACUUUUACUAAGCCCAUAUAUUAGCAAGUACUUGGUUAACGAGUACCCAUUGAGGUACGAUCGAAUCAAUAGGUACCUGUUCUACCUCGUUUAUCAUUUAUUUUUUUUAAAAAAUAAUUUAUACUAAAAUAAUUUUAUAUUUUACAUAUUCAUAUAAGAUUUAAUAAAUGUUUUCUCAAAAAAGUUUCCUACCAUGAUUAUUAGUUUCAUCGUUUAUCAUUAUUUUACUUAUUUAGCUUUAAAAAUAUUACUUUGUAGUAUGUGUAUACAAAUAAAAAUAAAAAAUAUAUAUACCAAACGGAUUGGAUAUCUAUGGGUUCUUAAUCACGUAGCACUAACCCGACCCUGUAUAUAAGCGCGGAUUUUUUUAUUUAUUUUGGCCCAACCCUAGUAUUUUUUCUUUUUUUUUUUUGUCGAUACGAUAGAUUUCUACACUAAGGAGAGGAGGAGGACUUGAAAAGGUCUAAAAGUAACCCGAAAGGGAUUGAACCACUGGACUAGAUGAAUGCACUGUACACCCGUUUGAAGUUUUUAAACAAAGCCAAUUUUUAAUAUGGCGAAUUGAUGGGAGGCAACGUUUAAUGAACCCUUGUCUCCCACCCUACAAAGAUUUAAUGCAAUGAUGGUGGCUACCGGUCCAAAGGCAGUGGUUUUGGCCCAACCCUAGUCGUAACGCUGGAGCCAUGGUUGAUUUUAAUCUAGAAUUCUACUGGCAUCCGCGACGCUGGCUGCACUUUUCACUAGCCAGCCAAUUCCCCGAUACUUUCCACGUGGACAGCCGGUCGCCGCUUGCUUAAGGAGCCGUCAACUGAAAAUGUCUCAUCCAGACGAUGAGAAGACCAAAGACUUCUAAGUUUCAAACAUGCACGUUGUCGAGUAUUAUGGUGUAGUAUGGUAUAAUUCUACUCAAAAGUUAGUUAAACAAACAAAAGGAAACCCACCAGGCCACCACCAAUCCCCCACUCUAUCCGUCUAUCAUCAUCGAAUCUCAUCAAAGACAUAUCCCUUAAGAAACCAAACUCUUUAUUGAACAUCCAACUUCCAACUUAGCCGCACGGCUCGGCUCCUCGCUCUUAUAAUACCUAAGCACUAUAAGCAAUAUAGAAAUUGAACCCUAACUACUUUGACCAAAAAAGAAAAUAAGUAAUCAUAUUCCUACCUUUUUUCUAGACACGAUUUGGUAAUUUCAAGUUCCAUGACGGAGUUGGAAAUAUUUUCUGAGCGAAGGCACAAAUUAGCAAUAAAAGUUUGUGUAAUACUUCAAAGAAAUAAAUCUUAAUAAGAGUACUCGAUAGAAAUGUGGUGGACCAAUUUGUAACUUAAAGUUUAUUUGGAAUUGCAGCGACUUAUAAAAAAAAUACUUAAUUAGUAGAGGUCUCAUCAAAGUAUUUAUUAAGUGUUUAAUCAUAUUAUUUGGAUACAUAUUUGUAUAAGUAUUUUCUCUAUUUGAUAAUAUGCAAUUUUAAUCUCUAUUCCUAAAUUAAAAGAAUGAUGCUCGCUAAAUGCGUUAAAAAUUGCUCUUGUUAGCAAAAAAACCACAACUCCAAACGAGCCCUUAAAACUUUAAGUUUAAGUAGUUCUAUUUAUUUGUUUAUUUAUUAUUCAUCAAAUUAUUAUAACAACCAUGAUCUUAAUUAUUUUCACAAUUCAGUGGGGACACAAAUUUCUUAAGAAAUUCUAAACCUAUUAUAAGCCUUUUUUUUUUAGACCUUGCCAACACGUAAUGAAGGCAAAUAUAUAUAGUAAACAAAGUACAUAAUAAAAUCAUGCAAAAAGAUAAACAGGGCUUGAUUAUUUUAAUUUUAAAAAUACAAUCUUGAUAUUUUGACACUAAAUUAUAAGGCGGAGCAACAAAAAUUUUUAGUGAGGAAAUUAAAUGUGAUUUUCACAAGCUUUUGACAUGCAUCAAUGUCUUGAAAACAAUAAUCUCAACUGAUUCCAGCUGACAUAACUGGACAUCGUGAGGUGCUCAAUUAAAUUAGGCCUUCUACUUCUACUGCCGGCAUUCCCCUCGUGGAGGCCAAAAAAAAAAAAAAAAAAAACUACGAAGCUCCGAGUCAUAUUUUAUACUUCAAGCUUGGCUUAACUGGCUUUUGAAGCCGAGAAUAAACCAUAAUUGAGCGGUAACAACAACUAAAGGGCUGUCCCCAUUUAUUUAUCAACUAAAUUGAUUUUGCCUGAUUCAGUAAUAUGGUUGAAAAAUUCAUGCAUCCGAACAAAAUUACUCGUUCAAUUUGGGAUAAGAUUUCACAUCUUUGUGGGUAUAAUCCUAAUCAUUUUUACUUUUCCAAUCUACUCUCCUCAUCUUAGAAAUGCCCAUUUUUGUCCAUUCCUCUUUGUAUAUAUCUGUCUCUGACUCUGUAUCCUUCUCAUCAAUUUCAAGCUGGUAAGGCACCGGAUAUUUUUACGAGCUGGAAUUUACUGGUUUUGAAUGUAUAUUUUUCACUUUGAGUUCUGCAGGAAUUUGUAUAUAGAUCAAAACUUUAUCUAACUUCGGCUUUACUUCUUCUCAUAAACAGGUUUUUGAUGGCCAAAGUUGAAAAAGUUGCAGUGAAUUUGUCGAAGAUUGAAGGGAAAGAAAAGGGGAAAUUCUCAAAUUAAAUUAUUCAUUUCUUGAAGAUUAAUAGAGGGCCCAAGAAGAUUGAACCGCCGAAAUGUAAGUAUCAAUCUUUUCAUACUUCCAUUUUUUAAGUUCCACUUCACGUUUGAGAAUAGUAAUUUGGCUGUUCAAUUCCUGUUACGCAUUGCUUCAACAGUGGGUUUUAGCUUUUUGGUAAUCAGUAGCUUUCUACUCUGCAAACGGAAUAAAUUUUUCUUCGAUCAAUUGGUGAAUUGUGAGUGAUGAUUUUUUUUUUCUAAAAUUGUGGGAUGAAAAAUAACAGUGAAAUGGGAACUGUAAUGGAGCCAGCCAAUGAGAUUAGACAAAGAGGAAAGCAUUACUACACAAUGGGGCAAACUUUGUUUGAGAUCGAUACAAAAUAUGUUCCAAUCAAACCCAUAGGAAGAGGGGCAUAUGGGGUUGUUUGUUCUUCAAUUGAUAUGGAGACUCAUGAGAAAGUGGCAAUCAAAAAGAUACAAAAUGUGUUUGGGAAUAGGAUUGACGCAUUGAGGACUCUCAGGGAGUUGAAGCUUCUGCGGCAUCUUAAGCAUGAGAAUGUGAUUGCCUUGAAGGAUGUCAUGAUGCCUAUGCACAGGAGUAGCUUCAAGGAUGUGUAUUUGGUGUACGAAUUGAUGGAUACUGAUCUUCAUCAUAUUAUAAAGUCAUCUCAGCCGUUAUCAAAUGAUCAUUGCAAGUUUUUUAUUUUCCAGGUGCUGAUUCAUUUUGAGCUUUAAGUACACUAGAUUAAGUUUAUCCUUUUUAGUUCCAUGAGUUUUGUUAUUUGAGAAAGUUAUGGAUUACAAUUUGCUUGUAUGAGUACUAACUGCUGUUCUCAUCCUAAUGGAAGAGGUCUUAGUCACAAUUUUCUCUCUGUUUUUUUUUUUCUUAGUCACAAUUUUCUCUCUGUUAAAAGAAGGAUAGAACCACAUUAGCUACUAUAGAUGCGGUGAUCAACAGCCUUUUUGUGUCUUAAUUUUGAUAUGAACUUCUAUUUGAAACUUUUCUGCUUUUUUUCUUGUUUAUCUCUCCUACACUUACUUUCAUUUCUGAAAUUUGGGGGUCUCUCAUUUCAAGUUCUGAAUAAACUGAAUGAAUUCCAUAUCUAGCAUAACAUAUUUUGAUAGCUUUCCUGAUGAUUAACCUUAGAGUACUCGUAUAGCUUGAAAGCUUUUGGGAAAGACCUAUGUGUUAAAAUUGGUAUUUGACUUAGAAAAUGUAAUUAGUACAUUAGAGCUAGUUCGUAGUUUUAAGGUUUCCCCUGAUGGUGAACUUUGCUACUAUGCCUGGUGUGCCAGUUGUGAUAUACAAAACUUCAUUGUGUCUGAGGACAUUGGAACUAAUUUCAAGGCUUAUGAGUUCACUGUAUCCAGAGGACCAUGUAUUCGGGACUUUAUGCUCAUAAUCAUCUUCUCUUUUUCUAAAGCAUCAAAGAGAUAAGUAGAUAAGUAUAAAUACAAGUAGCAUACGUAGCAGUUAUUUUGUAAAUCCAGCAGAAAAGGUUGUAGAGGCAUUGAUCCUCUUCUGAGUGAAGAACUAUGGUUUCAAUUACACUUGAGAAAAGCUUCAAUUUUAUAUCUUGUGCCUGCAUUUCCUGUCAAGUUGCAUGCUUUGUCUUUUCAAAAUGUUUUCCCGUGGACUAUAUCUCAAAUUUAGAUUGGGUGAAUGGUGCAAAGAAAAGGUUUAUUUGUUGCUUUCUUACAUCAUGCUUAUCAUGAUGGAAUUCAAGACAAGGCAUGAGCCUUUCUUUAGUUGGACUUUCAGGGUUUAUGUUUUAUUUUCAAUCUAAUUUUAAUAACCUUUCUGAGCUUUCACGACAUAUGCAAACAGAAAAUCUUUUCCUGUUGAAGAUUAUUAUCAAUUGUUUCAUUUAACCUUCUUUUCUUUAAAUGCUGAUACGUUGCAAGAUUACUGUUCUUGUGAUUCUUGAACGGUCGCAUUCAUGGCUGUAGCCACGCUCUCACGUGAUCUUCAAUUCAAAAUGUUAGGUAUUAGAAAAUAUGAUGCAUCAAAAGCUCUUGAGUUAUUCUCCUUAAUUUUUUUGCUGGUCUGAUUCUCUGCUCCUGUUUUUCCCUCAUCACUGAAUUGCAAUGUGCAGCUUCUUUGUGGUUUACAAUAUCUUCACUCGGCAAAUGUCCUUCAUCGGGACUUGAAACCAGGAAAUCUCCUCGUUAAUGCUAAUUGUGCACUCAAGAUAUGUGACUUUGGAUUAGCAAGAACUGGCAAUGACAGUGGACAAUUCAUGACUGAAUAUGUAGUCACAAGGUGGUAUCGUGCGCCAGAGUUGCUUCUUUGCUGUGACAAUUACGGGACCUCUAUUGACGUCUGGUCUGUAGGGUGCAUCUUUGCUGAAAUCCUUGGCAGGAAACCAAUAUUCCCAGGAACAGAGUGCCUCAAUCAGCUUAAACUUAUCAUUGAUGUCCUUGGCAGCCAAACUGAAGCCAAUCUUGCAUUCAUUGAUAAUCUGAGGGCUAAAAAAUUCAUAAUGUCACUUCCUUGUUCAAGAGGGGUUAACUUUGCUUCUCUCUACCCCCAUGCUGAUCCUUUGGCCAUAGAUUUGUUACAGCGGAUGCUAGUUUUUGAUCCAUCGAGGAGAAUCACAGUGACAGAAGCUCUUUAUCAUCCAUAUUUGUCAGGUCUCUAUGAUCCAAGUCGCAACCCUCCUGCUCAGUUUCCUCUCAGUCUUGAUGUUGAUGAGAACAUGAGCGAAACAAUGAUCCGCGAGACGAUGUUGAGAGAGAUCCUUCUUUACCAUCCGCCACAAGUUACUUACACGAACACGAACACGGUGAUAAAUUUUUAAUUUGAGAAGCAUUUCUUUGGCACUAGACCUUUGGAAAAAGCAUAAAAGUUGUGGGGAAGGAAAGAAAGAACAAAAAGUACCAAUACAUUAUUAGUACACAAGUAUUGUUUUAGAAUCAUACUUGUUCUGUACCAAGCCUUGGAUACUUCUUUUUGAUUGCAUCAAUUUAUUAUUUAAGCCCGAAGGGGAAAAGGGACAGUGCAGUGGCAGUGAUAUAGCAGUUGAAUCCGAGCAAUUUGCCUGGAGAGUGGUGACUUCAAUCGCUCGACUCUUGGGCCAACCCUUGCUCCUCUAAGCUCUGAAUAUUUUGAUUAGUCCAGAAAUUUUUGAUCUAUGCGUUCUUUUAGUUUGAGAUCACUGCAGAAGUAGCAGCAUAUCAGAACCUAUAAGAGCAGUAGCUUCACACAUCAUUCCUUGAUGGAGAAACGGUCUUAUCUCAAAAUUAGUCCAUUAAUAAUCUUAAGAGUCGGCUUUUUUCCCCCUCCCUCCCCAUUAAUAAUCACAAGUGGUGGGCAUCUUUGAGGGAAUAUUAUGAUCAUCGAAGCAUAAAGCAGCAGCAGCAGCUAUAAAAGGCGACAGAAUACGUCAGUAUUAACUCAAACUAGUGGAUCUCCACUACAGUCUGACACAACGAAAGAGAUGCAUCAAUCGAGUCUGACAGGGAAAUCACAAAUUUUAAAAAGAUACAACAAUUUGCAGGGAAGUAUCUUAUCAUUAUGCAAAGCUAUAAAUUGAUCAAGCUCUUCUCUUAUUUGCUCGGUGUGGAAUAGUCAAUGAACACAAGCUUGUAUCUUUCUCCAAAAGCCCAAUCAAGAAAAUAUACAACACACACACACACACACACAUAUAUUACAUAUAGCUAAACUAAAAGCUGGCAAGCCAUCCAUCCAUGAAGGUGAAUGAAGUUUCUAUCUUCUUUCCUCUAACGUACAUCAGGGGCCCUUCGCCCAUAAUGUACGGUUGUCCGGCACGCACGAGAAGAAAUUAGAGAGUCUAGAAACACGUUUUGCCGGAAGCCUCCGCUAAUUGUUUCCACGUUGUCAUUUGGGACUCAUAAUGGGUCUGUUUAGAUAAACUAGAUUUUUUUCUUCCAAAUAUUAUUCAACUUGUGUCGUAUUUUUUUAAAGGCACACGUUAAAAUAUAUUUCAGAUAAAUUAUUUUUUUAUUUUAUAUAUAUAUAUAUUAUAUCAUAAAAAAUACUACGUUGUCAAUCUAAAUAAUUUUUUUUUUCAAAUUAUCUUUUAUCUAAACAUACCCGUUGCUUUUGCCCCGCUCCUAGUGUUCCGCUCCUAGUGUUCAAGUGUCGCAGGAUUGAAUAAAGAUGUUUUACCUAAAACCAUGGAUGCAUGAUACAGCCACUUCAACUUUGCCCAUGUCAGCUCAAUUUUCCACUAGUUGCUUUUUUUUUUUAAACAACUUUUUUUGUUUUUCUUUUUCUUUAAUCAAGAAGUGAAGAUUGGUUUUCUUACUCUGUUGUCUCCUAUGCGUAAUACGUGUUAGGAGAAAGCAAGAGAAAAAGUAAAUUUAAAAAACGUUAAACAAUAAUAAUAAUAUUGCUUAGCUUCUUAAACAUGACUUUGAUGAAUAAUAUAUAUUUUAUUUAUCAGACGUAAAACAUUUACGUACUACAACAUUCUUAAAUGCGGUCAAAAGUAAUUAAACCUCGUGCAUGGAUAAUGUAUAUCGCGUUCCACGGGAUGGAGAAUCCCUUUAGGCUUUAACCCCUGGAAGUUAAGUCAAAAGUCAAAAAAGAUGAACGAGGAAAAAUGGCCGAGCCAGCUUUGAAGUUGAUUGACAGUUGCUAAUAGAGGCCAAGUCAGAGUGAAGGUUCCCAUUUUCUGCGAUUUCCCUGUUCAAGCUGCACGGGAUAGGCUCCAGCGCCGCCGCCCCUUAUCCAAAUAUCCACCCAUUUGAUACAAUUGAAGCUUUAGCCACCAAACAACGUGCGGAAAAAAAAAAUAGCAAAUUUUUCCUUCCAAACGGAUCAGUCUACCUAUCAUGUGUCAACUAUUCUCUCACUAUUUCAACUGCUAAAAACCAAACAAAAGUUUCUUGAUACAUUUUCUAUUGGCACCAUCCCAAAAAAAGAAAAAAUUUUUUUUUUUGUUUUUUUCUGUAUUGUGGAAUUUAGAUACUACUCCACGAUAAAAGUAUAUUUGAAGAGAGGGAAGACUAGUAAGUGAUUGACAAUUCUAAUUAAGUCGGUAUGAGUAGCGCAAUUUGCUUUUGUCUUCACUUUUUCAGGUAAAAAGUAGUGAUUGAUGGCUGAUUUCUCUAAUUCAGAAGUAAUAGUACUAAAUUGGUAGUUUAAAUCAUAGUGAGGAUGGCCAGCUGGCCUCUGAGCCGUCACUUUAUGCUUCUCAAUGGGCCUAAAAAUGUGUAUAAAUUCCACAGCCAAAUUCUCCUUCCUUCCUCCCUCCCUCCACCUCCCUUCCUUCCUCAUUUCUUUUUGCAUUUAGCUUUGUGAGGUUCGGCCUCUGCCUCUCCCUAAUUUUCUGUUCCUCCAGGUUCUGAAACUCCCAGCUUCCACAAAGCCCGAAUAUUUCUUUUUCCCCUUGAUCCUCUACCCGAACAUUCAUGCGGCAACAGGCGUUUAUUCUCUAACCUUUGACAUUCAUGUCUCCUGUACUCAGCGAAGUCCUCCUCUCCGGUUUCACAAUCAGCUCCACCCUCCGCCGUACCCACUUGAUGCAAUCUUUCUCUGUUGUAUUCCUCUACUGGUUCUAUGUUUUCUCAUGAACUCAUAAAACCAUCAUAUUUACAUUAUUUUCAUUGACCAAAAGACUUCUUUGUCGUAAGUUCAUUAUCCAUAUAAUACUCCUACCCUUUAUUAUUUGCUUAUCUAAAAGACUGCAGAGUAGUAUUUUGCAAGAGAUUUUGUACUUUUUGGCAUAUAUUUUGCGCCAUGUCUUGUACCAGCGGAAAUUCAUCAGGGCCAAGCCAGAUUCAGAAUUCGGGGUCCGAUGAAGAUCCCCAACAAAUUAUGGACCUAAGAAAACGCAAAAGAAUGAUAUCCAACCGGGAAUCUGCUAGGCGAUCAAGGAUGAAGAAACAGAAGCACUUGGAUGAUAUGAUGGCCCAGGUGAAUCAAGUGAAGAACGAGAAUAAUCAAAUUCUCACCAAUAUCAACCUUACAAAUCAGCUUUAUCUGAACAUUGAAUCUGAAAAUUCUGUCCUAAGAGCUCAGCUGGCUGAACUCAGCCACAGGCUACAGUCCCUCAAUGAUAUCAUUAACUGCUUGAAUGCUACAACGAAUUCACCAGUUCUUGAAACACAGGACUCUGCUUUUGAUUAUCAGAUGAUGAGUGCUUUUGAUCAUGAUUUCUUCAACCCCUGGAAUUUACUCAGUGUAAAUCAGCCCAUCAUGGCUUCUCCAGAUGUUCUCAUGUACUGAUUCCUUCGGAGAAGUGAUCCAUUGCUUCGGUGUUUGGCUUGCUGAUGAUCGGGGUUGUAGACUUCUGGGUGCUUAGUGAAAUUGAACUAGAAUGUUGUCCUUGGUUUGUAAUUGAAACGAUUAUGUAUAUUAUGGUUGAUGUACUGCCAUUGCGAAUGCAAGUAAUUUUCUAAAUAUUAGAACAAAAUUCAAAGUCCAUUAUUGAGUGGAUUAGUUCAUUACCUAAUUACGUUGUUUUCGGUGUACAUCUUCAAGAAUGAUGCAAGGUUCGCACUCAUAAUAUAAUUUGUACUCCCAUCUUUUAAUCCUUUCAUAUAUGGUUCACAGAAAUUGUUCACUGAGUGCGAUGUGGAGAAUUUACAAUUAGUACUUUAGCAGCAAAAAAAAGGGUAUAUAUAUUGGAAGCUAAAAUAAAAGGAGUAUAUGUCAAAGGCGAUUUGUGUUGCUGAGGACGCCAAUGAGAAAAUUUUAAUUAUUUGAUGAUGACAUAUGUUUUAUCUACACAUUCAACUACCACUUUAGGUAAGGAUUAAGAUUAGUGGACAAACUGAUGUACCAAUAAACUACUGGCAGAAUUAGUGGGCGGACCAACAUAUAUUUCCAUUCAUGAACUAUACAUAUAUGGGCUGUUUGGCCGGGGCAGAAAAGAUUUGUUUAAAAAAAAUACUACCUCAAAUGAUGACAUCAUCUUGUAUUGUUUGGUAAUCACAAACCGACAGAUGCAUUUGACCUAACAAGUAGAAUUAUUAGUAUUAUACAAUUGUUGAAAGGAAGACAUCUUAAUCGCAUUAUGCGUGGAAAGUUAAUACAAGACUCGCAUAAUGCUCUGCCUCUAAUUGUUAAUAUUUUAGUUAAGCCAUGACCUCAAGGCUAAGGACAAAAUCUAUGAGUUUUCGUUAAUGUUUUGAAAAAUAACUAAAAUAUAAAAAGAGGUUAACAAAUCAAUAAUGUCAUCUCUUCUACACGAAAGAGAUGAAUACAAACCGCCUCGGUCGGAUGCUUAUUCAUUCUUUAAUCCGUUCUCCGUUCCACAGGACUCAAAUCAAUCUAAGAUUCCUUGAGAAAAUUAUUGAGCGCCCCCCCCCCCCCCCAACACACAACACAAACAGAACUUAAAAAGAAAUCGAUCAGAAGUUUCUUGAUUAAAGAACUUAAAGAGUAGAAUUAUUAGUAGUGAAAGAGAAGAAACACGUUGAGGUCGCAAUCCGACGUCUCUGUUAUUCUUAUCAGUUCCAUGUUGUUUUCACCUGUCUUUGAAAGAACAAAUAAAUGAACUGCAAGGCGCACCGAAUCAGCAAAAUCACUUUCUAGCCCAGAUUAAAGAAACCCCCAUUAGACUCUCAGACUCACUGUUGCAUGCAUGCCAGAUCGAGCAUAUCCACCUAUUGAAUUGAACCCUUUUAAGAGUUGUUCUGAUGUCACAAUUUUAUGUAGAAAGUAGGAUUCCACUCUUCAAGAUUCAAUGAAAAUCUCAAUUUCACAAUAGACGGACGAGAUUCAUAAAUUUUCAAGUCUUAAAAGGUUGAACAGAGAUGCUUCUGGUGCUUGUCUACUAACUAAAGAAUGCUAGAUCAACUCUACAGAACAAAAUGCAGUUACACGCUAUCUGUUCUGCACAGACAUUUGAUCUCUAUGUGAUUCAUAUUAAACCAGUCGAAUCCUUUUCUCUGGCUAUUGAAUAAAAUGAUGAUAUACGUACAAAAUUACUGGCAUUGAUUUUGCCAGCUGUUGGGCUUCAUCAGUUGAGUUAAUCUGGUAUCGACUUGACCAAACUUUGCCAGCAGUAUGAGCAGCUCAGCAUCAGGACCUUCUUGAUUUGUUUUCUAUUGAUUAGUGCAUCAGCACUAGGACCAGGGGGAAAAAGUAUGUUGGAGAGAUGCACGGAAAGAAAAAAUUAUUUGCAUGUUGUUUUACUUUGGCAUAGCCGUACGUGGUUUAAUUUUGCAGCCUGUUUUUUUUUUUUUUUUUAAAAAAAGAGUUAGGUCGACAAGUUUUCAAACUUCAACCAGACAUUGCUGUACCAUGUGGCCAACCCUUUUCGAGAGGACGCCCACAUGAUUUGAUCAGAAGAAAGAAAAACAAAAGUUGGUUUGUCUGUGGAGUCCUUGAGUGGGAAGUUAAUGGGUUUCGACUAAGCCAACCGACGCCAAAAAUUGGCUUGCUUAGGCUGCUCACUAUUGUAACUCCAUGGCUUUAUAUUAUUCAUGGAGAAUUGGCACGAGGAGUGGAAUUUUCUCCAUUUCCUUCCACCUACAGAAAUCUGGCAAACAGUUUUUCCCAUCAUAUUAAAUCUUUCCGUUCAACCCAAAGACCAAAAGAGCAAAACAAGUACUCUACAACCAAUCAAUAGUCGGUGUGGAGUGGAGUGGGACUUCCUCUCCCGCGCCGUAGGGAUUAGUCGGAUCCCGUAAGAAUUGAUCCGAACACCCCUGUGUCGACAAAAAAAAAAAAAAGUACUCUACAACCAAUCAAACUAUUAAUCAAUAGUAUAAUUUUUAUUUGAUUUCUCCUUCGAUCUGUAUAUGCAUCAAGGUAUUAAAAUCGCGACACCCGUAAUUGACACGAGACAGCAACCACGUCUGAUUGAAUUUACCAUGUGUGCCCGAAUUGUAGCAUGUUCAUUGAAUUGGUUCUCGAUCAUGAGUAUGGGAAUUUGUAAAUUACAUAUUCAUCUAUCUUUAGUACAAAAACAUGCUUUUGACCAAAAAGAAAAAGUAUAAAAGCAUGCACCCUAUUAGAAAUCAAGUUUAAGCAUUUUCUUUUUUCCUUUUUUGUUUUGAGUACAUCAAAACUUAAGUUUAGAAUGCAAAAAUCUUAAGGCUACUCAAUAAGUUAUUGGUGCUUAGUCAAUUUUUAUAGUUUGAUCACUUCACGUUUGGAUUGCUAUUUAUAGGAAUUUUUGUAGAAAAAUGUAUCGUAAUGAUUUGAUGCAUGUACAGUAAAAAAAUGAACGAAAAAUGUGUUCUCGAAAAAUAUAAUUUUUUUUUGCAAAAAACCACAAUCCAAACAUAGAUAUCCUUUAUUUUUUAAGAUAAAGUUUGGGUGAGUUUAACUCUGGUCACCACCAUAAGCAUAGGAUACACUCUUUUGUAAGAAAAUGAUCCGUUCUUAUCAAUUGAAUUAACUUGUGUUGGCUUAAAAAAAAAAGAAGAAUUCCUCUCUUAGCAUGUUCAAUGUUUAAUUGUUUAAGUACCAAAUGCAAGCAGCAGGACAGACGUGCAUCAAGUCAUCAAAAUUUACAUGCAUAAAUUGUUUGGGAGGAUUGAAGGCAAAUAUUUUCGUCAAUAGUACAUUUAUAAUUUUUUUGAAUAGCUUUUUUUCAUGCAUUGUCAGUGUAUAAUUUUUUUACAUUAACAAAUUUAAAUCAUAUCGCAUAACAUGAAUAAUUCAAAUCAUGCACAUGUAGCAUGCAUCCAAAGUUGCUAGUGUAAAAAAAUUACUACAUUGUCAAUGCAUAAAAAGUUAAUUCUUUUUUUUAAUUAAUUGAAAUUUCACGUUUCAACCACGUAAUAGGCUCAUAUUCUAUUGACAAAAUAGGGAAACUGGCCGGGCAACUUCUUGAAUGUAAGAUACGAUCCUCUUGUAUUGGCCCCAAACUACUCCGUGCCCAAUGGGCAUAUCACCGAUGGGCGGUGGCCCAAUAAGAGCUCUUAAGUUGCCGCCAAAUCCCUGAACUUUUCCUCUAAAUCCCAAAAAUGUCCUCAUCCCCAUCCUCAGAGCUUCCCCUUCACCCCUCCCAAAACCCUAGCAACUGGCGCUUCACAUGGGAGGCCCAAUCUCACAUCCCAACCGUCCGAUUAUAUCUCUUCAACCCCCACAUCAAACCCUCAGCUCAAUGCAUCAACUUAGAGGUCGACUUAUCAGUGGACCAGUCUUCACUCCUCGUCAGAUUCUACCAAGCAGAAGCCGAAGCCGAAGCCGAAGCCUGCACUUCAUUUCGGGUCCCGCUCCCUAGAGUUUUAAUCGACCCGGAGUCACCGGUUCAGUUCACAGCUUAUGAUGAUCAUAUUCAUGUUAAACUCGCUCUGCUUCUUCCCAUUGAUCAUCCUCUUGUUUCGCAAUUUGAUUCCUCGUCUGAUGAGUACCGGCCACUUUCCACCGAUUCCGGUGAGCUUAUAACCAAUCACUUAAGAUGGAAUCUUUUUAUUCUUUUUGAUAUUUCUAUUCGCUUAUGAAUGAUUUGCUGUUUAGGAGCAUUUGUCAUUUGGUUUUAAAUUUGUUUGUGAAUAUGUUUUAUUCUUUUUUGGAACAAAUGUGGCAAUGUCGCUGGUAUUUUGCUUUCAAGAUGGAUGGUGGAUGAUUUGACCUUCACUGCGCAUAAAGCUGUGACAUUUACUUUUGAACAGGUCAUUUUGCGAUGAAUAAUUGCUUGACUAAAUGAUGUGUGAGCUGAAAUAUCUUUUAGCUUACCAUUGUCCUUCCUUUGCAAUCUGGAAGAAAGAAUAUGGAAUUGCUCGUGCUUCUAGUGUCUGCAACAUGAGUUCACUUGGCUUUCAAGUUUUAAGGGCAAGUUGGGUACAGAUUGGGAACCCGUGAUUAUACAAUUUUCCUUUUUGUCUAGAAGUCUUUUCUUUUUUGGGCACUUAUUCAAACACUGACCCAACCUUUUGGUUUUAUUUAUUUAUUUAAUUUUUAUUCAAGUUGUAGUAAUCAUGCACAAGCUAAAUUGUCAGUCAUACUUGUCAAGUUGAUUUAGGUGGAGCUACAGAGUGGAGAAUGUUAUUCGAUUUGUAGUUAGAAUUAGGCUGAGGAUAUUGUACACACGGGUGGGUGGAAAAAAGUUUGUGACAUUUGAUAUUUGUUUCUCUUGUGAAGGAAAAAUGGUUGUGUUUAAGUUUAAAUCACCGUAUCACUUUUUCUUUGUCUAUUUCAUUUUGAAGAUGACGAGCUAACAUGUUUUAGCUUAAUAUUUCUGUCUUUCCUUUCAUGGCAUCUAAGAGGUAUCUUUGGAAGCUCAAAUAUUGUAUCUUGUCAAUCUGUGAUGAAUCUUUUUGUUUCCAUUUAAUUUUUUCCUUUUUUAAAAUUUCGUUUGGUAUUUGUAAUCCAAGUGUAUUCCUAGUAAUUAUGGUUGUUCGUUUAGAUCUAAAGAAUUUAUCUGCUUUGGAGGAAGUGUACUUUUACUGCAGAAGUUGCUCAGCUAAGUUGACAAGAUCUCUCAGGUAGAUUCUACUUCGAACAUUUUUGGAGGAAAUACCAAAAUCCUCAUGGGUGCUGAUUCUUUCUUCUAUAAAUAUUGCAUUUUCAUGUAUGAGACAUUUAUGAUUUCUAGAACAUUUUUGCCCCCCCCCCUCCCCUCCUUCCCCUUUUUUCCCCUGAAUCACUGGCAAUCUCUUCUUUGCCAGUUAAGUCCUGUACUCUUCUUGUGGAAGGGUUACCUCACCUCCUUUCAUGGUACGGCCCGGUAGACGGCUAGAUUUACCAUUGGCUUGGAAGACCUAUAGAACCUACAUUCAGUUUGUUCUUUCUUUUCCUGAACAAAUAGAUGGAAUCCUACCUUGUUCAUUGGGAAUUUAUUUUACUCUUUCUUAGAUUUUAUUACAAUUGUUUUAUGCAUUAAAGGAUGUCCUUUUCUUGGCUGAACUUUCCAAAUUAUAUAGAUGUUUCAAGGAGAUGCCAUCAGUCAAUUGGCAAGAAGCAGCAGACAAUUGGUUUGGGGCUUGUUGUUGUUCAUUUGGAGGUAUCAGUGAGAAGCUGGUUAGAAGUUAUGCAAAGUCCUAUACAUGUGCAGCAGGUGUUUGUCUCUUAGAUACAGAAUCUGUCAUUUUGUGCAAGGACGAUCUUGUGGGAUGUGAAUUUCCUGGAUUUAAUUGGAACCAAAGUGUUGAGUUUAAUCUGAAAUUGACUACUGACGAUAUUUUGGUCAAAGCUUCCUCAGAUGAUGCAAGUAAACAUGGGCAAACUGUCUGCUCUGAGAAUGAUGACUUUGGGAGGGAGGUCAGCAAUGGCAAGGAACAUCAUCUUGGUUCUGAGGAAGAAAACCUCAAAGAGAAACUGAGGCAUGAAGCUACUGGAAAUGCUGGUGAUUGUGGUAACUUAUCUUGCCUGUCUUCACACUUACAGACUGCAGAAAACAUGGCAACUUGUCCUGACUUCCAUGCAGUUAUGAAACAUGAUCUUGGGUACUGUGAUAAUGGAUGUCAUAGUCUUGAUCGUUUAGAAAUCUCUUCAGAGGAAAAAUCUGGAAGGGAUAUUGAACUCCUAGAGCAUCAGAAAGUAUUACUUAAUGGCUUUCUUUGGAAUGGUUUCCUGGCAAGAUCCUCCAAUCUUUCAAAAGAUGUUAGGUGGGUCGAAUUCUUGUGUCCUCAAUGUUCUUCCCUACUUGGAGCAUACCCUUGCUUCAGUGAUAGUAGUCCAUUGGACAGUGGAAUUCGCUUGUUUAAAUGCCACAUUUCAACCACUUUACCUGUUGGUGGCUCCGGUAAUACGUUUAGGUAAAAGACUUCUAUUUAUGAUUGCUAUCACAAGAAGUGUUGUAAGUUUUGUGCUUGUGACAGUUAUGAUCAUUUAUUUGUUUUUCAAUUGUGGAAGGACACAUACCCAAUGCUCUUAUAAGAUGUAUAAGAGUAGGUCUUAGAAGGAGAAAGUCAUCUUUCAUAAGUUGUUUAUUUGUAAGUGGGUCUGUUAGUAUGGCUCUGAUGAUAUGCUGUGGAUACUUUGAUUUCUUUUGGGUUUGACAUUUUAGGAAAUAAAUCCUAAAUCCAUCAAAGAAAACGACUUCUAUCCUUUUUUUUCCCAAAAAAGGAAGGAAGUCAUUCAUUGGAAAUAAGAAAAGAAAAUAUUGCUAUGGCUUUAAACACUGGCUAUUGGUAGUGUCACUAUGCCUCUUCCUCCAAUUGGUUAGUUUACACUAAAACAUCUUCAGCGCUCUUUCACUUUAGUUAGUUGGCCAGCAGAACUGGGUGUUACAUUAUAUUGGGAUACUUUCGCCUGUUAUAUUAUGUGUUCAGCAUCAUGAAGGGAAUAAAGCAUGCAAGUGAUGUUGGUUAAUUAACUAUUUACUCUUCUUCAGUAUGUUGGAACCUUUCCUAAUGUCCUUUAUUAUUUUUAAUUAAAUCUUUCUUGGUCUGAAUUUUGCAAAGUUCAAUUUUGUGCAGAUGUUAUAGCUUGGAGAGGAUGUUUGCAAUUCAGUUGCUGGAAAGUGCAAAAGAUGAAUUAUCAUUCCGGACUGUUGUGAGAGAUAUGCAAACCAAAUAUCCUAUGCUGCAAAUUGUUCUGUUGAACCCGGAUUCUUGGUGCUGCAGUGGAUGUUGUUUGUACUCCACUGAAUCAGCUUCAAGGAAAAGCAUGUAUCCAACCAUCAAGGUGCUAUUUUCUGCCUGCUGCAAUGAUGAGGAAAACGAGUCUAGGUCAGUUAUUCAAAUGCAUUUGAUCUAUUUCGUGCAUAUAUUAAGGCAUUGUUUGUCCACCAGUUGACAGCAGAGUAAGUGUCAAUAGGGUAAUAUAGCGAAGUGGUCUUCAAUGUACAAUAAUUAGUCAUCUGAUUAAAUUUCGACGUGGCUGGAAUGUGUUAUCAUACUUUUCCCAGGGGCCUUUCUUCUUUGAGGAGCAAAUGCAUCUAUGAUUGAUUUUAUGGAUUGGCUCUAGAAAGAUUCUGUAAUGGUCACUGCUUAAACACAGCUUAAUAGCAAUCUGUUUUUCCGAUUUUGACUCUAUCCAGAAUUUAUUUGGCCAUGGUUGAAUCAUGUGCAGGAAGCUUGAAGAAUGGAUUACCAAGAAUCAAGCAGAUGAAGUGUACAUGUUGCCAUCUCAAAUAGGAAACUUGAUUUCCUAUUUAAAGUCGGCUAAUAGUAUGUACCCUCCAUCACAAGUUCCCCUGCAGAAUCUGUCCCUGUCAUCCAUGAGAAGAUAAACAAGAUACGGGAGAUUUUGAUCUCCAACAAAAUCUUAUUGUGGUCGGUUUGCAUGAGGAGGAUCUGAAAUCCCAAAGAAGGCUCAGAUUUUUAAUCUUGCAAGUUCUAUAGAAUUGUACGCAAUUUCAAGUUGCCAGAUUACUAGGGGGCUGAUCUGGCUGUCAUUCUGUUCCAUGACCAGAGGUUUAAAAAUCUCCCUCCGACUAUGCACGCUCUUUCAAGAGGAAAAAGAAGCGUCUAGGAUAUUGAAACUUACAGUUCAUCAUGGCAGUGCCAGUACGAUUAUAACACCUACCAUUAGAGGCAUUUGAAGCGUAACUGGUGCCCUUGCCCGACAGAGAGGGUGGAAAAUUAGGGGUUGCAAUGGUAUGCGGAGCCCGCAACUUACGAGGUAUGGGAUUCUGUGAUCGAGUCAACAACGACGAGACGCAGUCCCUGCAUACAUGAAUUUCCCUUUGUUCUUUGGUGGGACUGGUAUAUAUGUUUGCUUUGUUCUUUGGUGGAAAAUAAAAAGCUAUUAUUCCAAAAGAAAAAAAGUAAAUUAUGCUGUCUAAUUGGUGAUAUGUUCUUUGAAAAUUAUUUCGUGGCAAUCAUUUUGUCUCGGAGGAUAUUUUGAAUGCUAACAAAUAUUUUGGCUAUUAACCUUCUCUGUUUGCUGAUUACUUGAAAUUUACAACUGCAAUAAAGCCAUACAACUAACCACAAAAACAACCAACCAUCUUAAGCUUUAAAAAACUUCAUAAGAGAAACCAUAAAUCUAAACUUAAGACACUACAUAAGAGUAAAAGAGAAGAACUAAAAAUCAUCAUGCAUAAUUUAAGAACUACAAGGAAAAGUAAAAGAGAAGACACACUAAUGAUAACCGCUAGGGGUGGGCACGGGUCGGGUACCCGCCCCUAACAUGAUUUGGCUGACCCGACCCUAAUAUAUCGGAUCAGCCAUUUUGCGACCCUAACCUGCUCCUAAUAUUUUCGGGUACCCGAAAAAAAGGGGCGGGUCAUAGGGUACCCGCCCCUAAAAAAAACUAUUUUUCAAUAAAAAAAAUUAUUUUCUACUUAAUAUCAACAUAUUUUUCAAUAAAAAAACAUGCUUUUCCAAUUAAUAUUGGUAGAGAUAUUGUAAUUAAAGUCCAUACAUCACCAUUUUCACACAUUUCAUCCAAUAAUCAAAUCAAUCUCAUAAAUUUAGUACAUAUUAGAAUAUCUAAUGGACAAAACGAAGUUUCAUAAUAAUUUUGAGUACAUCACCAUUUUCACACAUUUCAUACUUCUACAACACAACAAACACAAGGAUAAUAAGUAUUUGGUAACUUCCCCAAGGAUAUUAUGGUACAAGACCGCAUCUCAAAUAAGUCAAUUGUGAAAUCAAGUUCGGAAAAGAAUUGAAUAGAACUAAUUAUUUUUGAAAAAAAUAUAACCAAAAUAAUGUUAAAAAUCUUCCCCAACUUCUUUACAUCUUUGGAAUAGACCUUAUGGUAUUAAGGUGAUGAAAAAGAAAAAUAAAUUUCUUGCACUAAAUAAAAGAGACAAAUUUAAGAGAUAUAAUUGCAAAUGAAUGACACAAAUAUUUUAAUUAUCUAGCUAACAGAAAAUUGAGACUCCAAACAAAAAUCUUUGAUUGAAUUGAUGCAAGAUUUGCAGGAAAGAUCGAUGGAGAUAGAAUAAAAAUAAAAAAGAUGAAAGGGAUGAACAAUUUUUAUAACAGAGUUUCACAAAUUUUUUUUUUCAUUUUGUUCAUGUUUCACCGAGAAUAUUCACUUUCUUCAAAAAAAAUGAGAAGAGUAGAUCAUAUAGGAUUAGAAUAUGAGGCUGCGAGCCACUUCACUUGCACUUAGGAUUAAAAAUUACAAAAUUAUAAAAUGAUCCCUACUUUUUAAAUAUUUAUAAAAUAUACCCUGCGGGUCGGGUACCCGCGGGUUUUUAUUUUUCUGAUCCGUAUCCGUACCCGAUUUUUCGGGUACCCGACCCUCAUCUGCCCCGCUAAGAAAAAUCGGAUCGGGUAUCCUAUUUUUCGGAUCGGAUCGGAUCGGGUUCAUCGGGUUUUCGGAUCGGCGGGUUUUUUUGCCCACCCCUAAUAACCGCACUUGAAAAGGAAAAAAAAAAAAAAACACGCGUGCACUACUAAACGUGCUUUUCUGCGACUUUUUGAAUUAUUCACUACUUGAAAAAUUGAUAGGAACUUUAUUAGUGGAAUUGACCACUAAAAUUCUUACAUUUUGACUGCAGAAGAAACAAAGGAAGUUCUUGUAUUAAUCCAGAAGGAAUGACUAAUUCUUUCGUAAAGGUGAAUGACACCUAUGUAACAGACGAAGAAUACAACUUGUAUUAAUGGAUUCUUUGGACAAAGCUUAUAGAAUUUGCAUACGCUUUAACAAGUCAAAUAUAUCUGCCAUUGGACUUUAUGCUUCCUCUUUUUGAGAGGUCAAAAGCCACAAAGUAUAAAAAGAAGAAUAUAAUGUCACAAGAGUGGAGAAGAAUGCAUUGUCGUAGUAUCAGCUGGAGGCAUUAAAAUCGCAGAAAUAAAUUUCAUGCAAGAAAUCCUUUUAGCAAGAUGUUGUGUCGACUGAACUUUAUCCACCUUCCGAAAGUGGCUACAUGAAUGGGCUCAUAGCAAUUAUUUUAAGCUUUAAAGAUCAUGGCCUUGAAAUUGAAUGGGUGAUGACAGUAGAUUUUCGGUUUCUUGGAAUAAAAUCAACAUUAGUGGUUGAAUUAUUUGAACUUGAUUCCAAAUUCUAUACGUUUUUUUGGACACGAUUCUUUUUCCCCAAAUGAGUAAACUUUACUUAAAUUUUCUAGAAAUAAAAAGUAGAAUUUAUUUUAUUUUAUUUUAACAAUGAAAAGAGGUCUUGGUUUUUUUUUUUUUUUGAGAAACCAAUUGCUCAACCAUCACAUUGCAUAUUAUUAAUAGCUUCCUAAAACCGUAAACCUAACCUAUAAUCCAUAUGAUUUGAUAUUUUGUUCAGAUUGAGCCACACCAUUACGUAUCUGAUCCCAGACAACCCACCAUGCAUGUAUUGCUCAAUCCUAAUGAAUCUGGGUACUCUAAUAAGUGUAGGACUUGGAGUUUUAUUAUUGAAACGUUAUCAUGUUUUUAAUUUUUGCUAAUAAAUACGAAGUGCUGGCAAACCAGUAUAUUUACCAAGAAUCAGAAUACCAUAAUGCCUCUCAUUUCACAAUUUUAUACUCGUGUCUUUCUUUUGAUCUUUAAUUGACUAAUUGAUUAGUGAAAUGUAUAUAGAUUGUCUCACGUGCUUUUUCCGAAUGUCUCUCAACGAGUCGGAUAGAGGUAUAUUCAUGAUGGAUUUAAAGAUUAAAAGGAAUGAUUGAACUUGGCUUGUGUUUAAUAAUUUUUUGAAAGAAUUUAAUUGAAUUUGGUUUGAAAUUUCAGAUAUAUAUUCACAAAAAGUUUGGCUUGACUUAUCAAAAUAUCGAGUUCAAAUACAUACAAUCAAAGCUUGGCUUGUCUUGAAAUUUCAUAUUAUAUUAUAUAGAGAUUUUCACCCUAAUUUGUUGCUUUUUUUUUUCCCUUAUUUUUUGCCCUAUGAUAUUCAAGAAAUCUAUUACAAUGAAUUAGUGAUGUGAUUAAAGUUAAUUAUGCCUAUUUAAAAAAUCUAUUACGAUGAGUUAUGGAAGUGAUCAAAAUCAAUUAUACCUAUUCAAGAGAUAAGAGUAGUAUAUCUAUUCAAAAGACAGCUAUAUUUUAUAAGACAAGUAAUAUACGGGAAGGAAAGAAGUGGGGUUAAAAGUAUUAUAUGCUUGCUAUAAAGAUAAGAUAAGCAAUAUAUAGGAAGGAAAGGAGUGGAGUUAAGAAAGAAAACUUUAUAUAUAUUUUUAUCAAAUUUGCUUGCCGUAAAUGUUUAUGAACACAUCGAGCUGGACAACGUUUCCCACCCUGAAUAGAUGAAAGCUUAUACCAUCCCACUCUUUUUAAUUUGAUUAAUCAGCUGGAUUCUAAUAUUUUAGUAGGAUGUAAUAAAUUUUUUUUUUUUACCUAGACUAGGUUGCUAAAGAUCGUACAGAGUAGUACAAGUAGGUUAACCAAUUUCCCAUGAUCAUUAAAUAUUUGACCAAUUUAGUAGGUAAAGAACAAGAUUCAACCAAAGUUAAGCUCAAGGCUCACUUAACUAGUAUUCUAUACCAUGUAGAAAUAAAAUUUACUUCUCCAUUCAAUUAAAAAUAUGAACUUUCAUGCAUGCUUAUUGUUAUAAUUAUGACAAGUGUCACUUAAAUUUUGGUAACACCAUAAAAAUGGCCGCUAUAGCAUAAAAAUAUUUAAAAAAAUGGUCGUACAGUUAACAAAAAUUCAAUCUAUUUUUCUCAAUCAUUUGCAAAUUUAUGAUUUUUUUUUUGGCCUUCUUCUCUAAUUGGCUGUGAUUUGUACUCAUUGUAUUUAGUUCCCAUAUUGAAAGUCAAAAAAAAGGAUAAGGGCAUAAAAGAAAUAAGGAUAAAUAGGUAUUUCAGAUUUUAUGAACUAAUAAGGGCAUAAAGAGGAUAAGAAAAUUUAACACCACAAAAGUAAAAAUACUAAACGAUACUCAGAAUGUGUUUGGUUUGCAUUCCAAAAUCACAGUCAUAAAUCUUUCAUCAUUUUCCAACCUUGUUGCUCCAUUUAGAACCAAGUUGGAUUUCAUUCUAGUAAUUAUUUAAUCAAUUUGAAAUCCAAGUCAUUACAAAUAUUUUUGACACCUUUUUCCCAUUAACGGAUUUCCAUAAUAUAUAGUUUAUCAAAUAAUAGAUAUAAAUAGCCUCAAGAAAACAAUAGAUAGAGGUAUCAUUAACUUCAAUGCUAAUUCCUAACUCAUUUGCCAAAAACCCCUAAAGCUAACCAUUACAAGUAUGGAUCCGUUAGGAUUACAAGCAUGGCAACCAUCCGCCUGUCUAAUGACCCUAACCAGCGCUAUAAACAACGGUCUAAUGAACCUAAAUAAAAUAGUGCUGUAAACAACGGCCUUAUCAUUUCAUUACUACUAGUAAUACUGCAAGUGCUUUGCUCGUGGUUAUAUUUUCCCAAACUUUUAUGUAUUAUUUAUAAUGGAGUAUUUUGUGAAAUAUUAAUCAUUAAAACCAUAAAAAUUUUUCUUUCCAUCAAUCAUGCAUAGGGUGUACUUCAUCCCUAUAUAUAAAGAAAGAGUGGCAAAUUAUGAUGUAUUAUUAUUCAUGCUAACACAUAUGAAGUAAAAUCUGUUGAGUUAUAAUUUUCGGAUUCAACCUUCAAGAAUGUAGCAAAAAAUUAAUUAACUUUGGCAAGAGAUUGCACAUCUUGAGUGCCAAAUACAAAACAAGAUCUGUGGAGUUAUAAUUUAUAAAUCUAACCUUCAUAAACGGUAUCAAACAUGAUAGAGUUCUGGCUAUGUAGAGAAGUUUAUCUUGAGCUUCUCCUUUACAAACCAUUAAUACAAAUUAUGGCAGUACUAUGUUGGUUCCUUUUUAUAAUUUCGCCAUAUAAAGGCAGUAGUAAUAACGUGUGCAUGAUGAUGAAACCAAAUAAACAGAUAAGACCGGGACUACGAAACCAUAUUGUCAUUUGGGUACAUUGGUGCGUUGUAUCCUUAAGGUACAUUGAACUAUAAACGGAUAUGAGUAGGUGUGUGAUAUAUUGCUACAUUGUAAAUUUCUAAUAAUAGAAAUUUUUUUUUAGUAUGUAUCCUUAAGGCACACGAUAAGCCUACAAAAUACAAACGAUGGACCAAUUUCAAAUUUUAAAUAUCAUUAUCAACCCCCAAAAUCUAGGAAACUUUAGCAAUAAAUUUUAAACUUUUCCUUAACUAAUACCUGAUCCACCCCUUAAUUAUCAUGUGUUUUAAGGGUACAAAGAAUCCUCGUAGAAAUAAUAAUAUAUGGUAUCUUAGAACGAGGGAAUGCAAAUAAUAAGCACUUAGAUAAAUUUAGAGAUAAUUACGGUCAGCAAAUUUGUAUCAUAACCAUUCAUUACACUAUUCUUCCCAUACUUUAUCUUUCAUUAAAGUUUCUAACUAUGUUUUUGGCCCAUUAUUUCUGAAUGCAUUUUGAUCUAACAAUUUAUUUUUCUGAAUGACUUCUUAAAGAUCUUAAUUUACCAAAAUUAAUAUUGUGGAUAUCUCUUAUGUUCUAAAUUAAACACGAGUUCAGCACAACCAAAAUUUACACACAAAAUAGUUUAGAUGUUUGAGAAUUAAGAGUAUUUUUCAUGCUAACCUUUCUUCUUCUUUUCCUCCUCUAUUAGAGAUGUCCUUUGAAGUGUGUGCUGGAUGGACCUGAUUGAAUCACCUUAAAAAAACAAAAAUCCAGGCACAAGCAACUUAGCCUCCUUUACACUCAAAGAACUCAAAUGUUCUUUUUGGUAUUGUUUGAAUUUUCUUUAUUAGCUUUAUAUUUAAUUGUUUGUUCACUUUAUGCCAUUUAAUUAUUGAUUUUCAAUUCUAUGGAGCUUUCCUUUUUUUUGUGGAAAGUUUUGUAGUUUCUUUUGGGCAUUCCACUAAUCUGUGUUUUUAAACUCGGACCGGAUCGGACGAUCCGACCGGUCGAACCGAGAAGUGUUUGGUCCAAGUUGUUCUUCAAAAUCGAAAGACUGAAAACCCGGACAAAAAUCGGGUUUGACCGGAAAAAAACCGGUUCAACCAGAGCAUUUUUUAAAAAAAGGUUAAACUUUUUCAAUAUUAUGUUUUGACCCCUAAAUUUUUAAAACUUAUUAAUAUACCUCAAAUAUUUCAUACUUUAUAAAUGUUGUCCUAAAAUUUGAUGUUAUUUUUCAAUCAAAUCCAUAAUUUUAAUUCUAAACUUAUUAAUGUUCAUUAAAUAAUAUAAAUUGCUACUUGACUGUUCUAAUUUCUUUGUAUUUUCUUGUUAAAUAUAUUUGAAACAUCAAAUAUAUAUGAAUGUACCUUUAUUAAUAUUAACAUACUUUUAGGUAUUUUAUAUACAAUAUUUUAAUUUUAAAUAAUUUUUAUUUAUGACAUCAUCCGGUUCAACCCCGAUCGAAGCCGGUCGAACCCAUUGACCCCUGACCCCUGAGUUUGGCCGAGUCGAUAUCCGGUCCGAGUCUGAAAACAUAGCCACUAAUGAGAUUAAAUUUGCCAUUGGAUAUAGAAUAAGAAUUAUCAACCCUUAAAUUACUUCAAGAGUCUAAAUCACUGAAUGAUGCGACAAGAUAUAAAAGGAUUUGAAUAAUGGGUACUGUAUCCAAGAGGAACUGUAAUAUUUUCCUUUUUUUAGCUUAUUUGCUUGUUCUUCAUAAUGAAUUUUAAUUAUUGCAUUGUGUUAUUUCAUUUAUGCAUAACUUUUUAUUAUAACAAUUAAUAACAUGAUUGAUAUUCAUUCCCUCAUCAUUAUUGAAAUGCAUUAUAAUUAUUCUAUAGAGGGUAGUUUAGGUAUUACAAAAAGUAAGACAAAAUCUGUUUACACUACCUAUACUUCUAGACCCAUGAUACUUUUACAGGGAGUAUAGACAGAGUCGUGGCUUUCUUUUGCUCUUGAAUUGAUUACGUAAAUGACCAAUAGGGGUUGGUUCGAGUGGUAAGCAGUUUGGAUUAGCUUAAGCAUGUUUCGUGUUCGAGUCCUAGUGUACGCAGACACCCCUGUUGAAAGACUCACCCAUCAUAGCCAGGUGUGCGACGCAGGUCGGGUCCGGAUUAGUCGGGGCAAAGUUCGGAUACCGGGCGGUCAAUCAAAAAAAAGAAUUGAUUACGUAAAUGUGCAUAGCUUGUCCCACAUGUUUUUUUUUUCCCCAAAUAUCCUUGAAUAGCCAAACGAAAUCUUGUACCGUUCCACUCCUUUCAAAUUGGUUAAUCAAUUGGAUUAACAUUUUUUUUGGCCGGAAAAAAAUUUCUAUAGAUCGUGCAUUUUAUCAUUGAACUAGUGCAAAGUGGAUUAACCAAUUUCCCAUAGGUCGAGCAUAGCACUACUACUUGAUCUAUAAGACAUUCAAAAUUUAUCUUCCUCUCUCAGAAUCCUUCUUCGUCGAGGACAUGUAGCGCAUUAGUUGAACGCAGAUUCCUUAGAAUGCAUGGGAACUUAUUCGUUUACGAAAUGGGCAAUCGAGAGAGAGAGAGAGAGAGAGGCAGGAUUAUAAUUUCUCGAAGGGCCAAGAUCGACCAAAGGGUCGUAUGGCAUUUUAUGCAUUGAUCAGAAUCUCUUCAAUAUUCGUUGCUUGGUUAUAAAUAGAGUUUGGGAAUGAUCAGUUUUUGCAAUGCAAUGCAAUGGGUUGAUAGGAAGGUAAGAGGAAGAGAGGCCUUACAUGAAGGUAAAGGUCCUCAUUUGGUAGCCAAGGAUGACUUGCCUGCUCCACCUCAGGGGGUUUCUCUAAGUCCACAAGUAAACCCUUUGUCGUGGUCGCCAGGAAGUCUCCUUGGCUAGCCUGAGAGGCUCUUUUCUCUCAUGCUAGGUCUUCUUUUCCCCUGCAGCCUCUGCCACCUCCCAGUCCUUUAUGAUUUUCUUUUAUCUCUUGCAAUUAUUCAAUUUUCCAUUAACUCCUUCAUCGUCGUGCUUUGCAGUUUGAGUACUUGCGAUGAUUGACAAAGCAUUGCAGUUUGAGUAUUAACUUUUGUUUAUCAGAAGCGUUGAAAAAUUUUCAUCAUAACACCGAUAUUUUGCAUUUCGGUACGUAAAAGUAUGUCUUGCAUUGUUUUAGCAUCAGCCAUCGUCUACUCCUCGGAUAAAUGUCAGUAAGAUGGAUCGUCUGUUUCAACAUUCGACCAGGUUUUACAAUAUUCGAUCCGACAAAUUUUUGUUUUUUGGGGGGUGGGAGGGGGAGUAAUUUUUGUUGGAGAAAACCUUACAAGCGCACAAAUUUUAGUGCCCCUAUUCCCUGUUCCCUAGCAUUUAAUUUGUAAGCCAUGUUUACUAAUCCUUCCUUUCUGUCUGUCUUCUUUUAUUUACAGAUCAAUUGUUUUUUUUAAAAAAAAAAAAAAAAAUCUUUAUCAAGAAAACAAAGGUGAAGUUCUUUGAAGUAUUCGGAGCAGGACUCCAAACGUAGUAAGGUGCCUAAGAUUCUCAUGUAAUGGCAAAAUCCAAUUAGGUCACGAAUGAAAUUUAAUGCAGGAACGAGGAACGAAACAAAAACCGUUCAUGGGACGUGUCAUACAGCAGCACUAAAAGUCUUCAAACAGCUCUCCGUGCCUUGAAUACCCAACAUUUUAGCAGCACACUUGGACGAUUGUGGGCAGAUGGCAUAUUUCAGCAACACAACUACUUACAAAUCCAGAAUAUAUUAUCAUGGAGCAAAAUAUCAAUAAUAUAUUUCUGUAUGGGUGUGAUCCAAUGCCCACCAAGCCACCAUGUGUACAUUUGCCUCCCAAGGGCCGGGCCCCAAAGAUUUAUGGAUAUACACUGUUUACAUCCAAGCCACGAUUGAGGCAUUUAUGUCCGGAUCCCUUUAUUUAAUCCAUCCAUUGAACCAAAAAUAUCCUGCCAAGGAGGGGAGCCUUCAUGAAGCUUUCGUGGGAGCAUUAUGAUGACGAUGCGGAAUUUUUUUUGUCUCUUAAAGUUCUCAUACGCGGUGAAGUGUCACCUUACCUAGCUUAUCACUCAUAAGAAGAUCUUUGAUUAAAAAGAGCGUUUUCAAUUGACCAACCUUAUCUACUGCCGACAGAGGACACUUGUCACUGUCAUGCACAGCCACGUAACAUCUUGCAAACUGACGCGGUGUCGGUACUGCAUGAAUUCGGCUUACACCUGGAACGCUGUUUGUGGCUCUUCCUCUGCAUGCACCGGCAAAUCCUCAUAACUUUACUGAUCUUUUUGGUUGUUCCCUUUCUUCUUCAGCUUGCCUAUAUAAAAACAGGGUUCCGCUGCAACUAUUUCUCGUCAAAUCCACCCAUUUGUGUGAAGAAGUCUUAUCAGUCAGUCUCUGAUCUUUCACCUUUCAUUGAUUUGUGUUCUAUAUUCUACUUCCGCUAGUAGUUGAAAUUUGGCAAUUAAGAUGGCACAAUACGGGGCUGAAUAUGGCAACCAAAAGAGCCAGUACGAUGAGUACGGAAACCCAGUUCGUCAGACAGACGAAUAUGGUAACCCAGCCCGCCAUGGAGGUACCAUGGGUGAUUAUGGAACCACUGGCACUACUGGAGCCUAUGGUGGCACAGCUGGAGCACAUGGGACUUAUGCAACUGGAACCACCGGCACUACCGGUACCGGUGCGUAUGCCACCCAGCCUGGCACUGAUGUGGGGAAGGAGCACCAUGGCCUUGGUGGCAUGCUUCAUCGCUCUGGUAGCGGUAGCUCUAGCUCGGUAUGCCCUCCUAAUUAAUCUCGUCUUGCUUAAAUUGUACUGAGUUGUAGUAGCAUUUAACAAAUCUUGACCAGCUUGUGAUGACUGGUAAUUAAAAAGUUCUUAUCUGUUUUCUUUUUGUUUUUUCGGUUGGGAUGCAGUCCGAGGAUGAUGGGCAAGGCGGGAGGAGGAAGAAGGGGAUGAAGGAGAAGAUAAAGGAGAAACUGCCUGGCGGUCACAAGGAGGCUCGACCUGGACAAGAAUAUUCGAGUGCUACUACAGCUCCUGGAUACGGCGGGGAAGGAGAGCAGCACGAGAAGAAAGGAAUUAUGGAUAAAAUCAAGGAGAAAUUAC
rnacentral:lncRNA from 1 species